GUGUCCAUAGUGUAAUGGUCCGCACGCGACUCUGUGAAAGUCGCAGUACCGGUUCAAAUCCGGUUGGACACCCA
rnacentral:tRNA from 1 species